rnacentral:rRNA from 1 species
CUACGGGAUGCAGCAGUGGGGAAUAUUGGACAAUGGGGGAAACCCUGAUCCAGCAAUGCCGCGUGUGUGAAGAAGGCUUGCGGGUUGUAAAGCACUUUCGGUUGGGAGGACUGCUUCUAGCACUAAUAUUGUUGGAAGUUGACGUUACCUUCAGAAGAAGCACCGGCUAACUCCGUGCCAGCAGACGCGGUAAUAGCGGAGGGUGCAAGCGUUAAUCGGAAUUACUGGGCGUAAAGCGCGCGUAGGCGGCUAGAUCAGUCGGGUGUGAAAGCCCCGGGCUUAACCUGGGAACUGCAUCCGAUACUGUCUAGCUUGAGUACAGGAGAGGAGAGUGGAAUUCCACAUGUAGCGGUGAAAUGCGUAGAUAUGUGGAGGAACACCAAUGGCGAAGGCAGCUCUCUGGCCUGAUACUGACGCUGAGGUGCGAAAGCGUGGGGAGCAAACAGGAUUAGAUACCCGUGUAGUC